rnacentral:rRNA from 1 species
UAAUACGGAGGAUGCGAGCGUUAUCCGGAUUUAUUGGGUUUAAAGGGUGCGUAGGCUGUUAUAUAAGUCAGUGGUGAAAUAUUCGGGCUCAACCGGGAUACUGCCAUUGAUACUGUAUAGCUGGAAUAUGGUUGCUGUGGGUGGAAUGUGUGGUGUAGCGGUGAAAUGCAUAGAUAUCACACAGAAUAUCGAUUGCGAAGGCAACUCACAAAGCCAUUAUUGACGCUGAUGCACGAAAGUGUGGGGAUCAAACAGGAUUAGAUACCCUGGUAGUCCACACUGUAAACGAUGAUAACUAGCUGUCGGCGAUAGAUAGUCGGUGGCUAAGCGAAAGCGAUAAGUUAUCCACCUGGGGAGUACGACCGCAAGGUUGAAACUCAAAGGAAUUGACGGGGGCCCGCACAAGCGGAGGAACAUGUGGUUUAAUUCGAUGAUACGCGAGGAACCUUACCCGGGCUCGAACGGUGCAGGAAUAUGGUAGAGAUAUCAUAGCUAGCAAUAGUCUGUAUCGAGGUGCUGCAUGGUUGUCGUCAGCUCGUGCCGUGAGGUGUCGGCUUAAGUGCCAUAACGAGCGCAACCCUUGUCGUUAGUUACCAUCAAGUAAAGUUGGGGACUCUAGCGAGACUGCCACCGUAAGGU